UACCGCAAACCGACGUGGGUGGUGGAGGCGAUUACCUGACGGCACGCGGGAGAACUGGGGUUAAGGAACUCGGCAAAAUGACCCCGUACCGUAGGGAUACGGGGUGCCACCAUAAGGUGGCCGCAGAGAAUAGGCCCAAGCGACUGUUUACCAAAAACAUAGGUUUCUGCUAAGUCGCAAGACGAUGUAUAGGAGCUGACGCCUGCCCGGUGCUGGAAGGUUAAGGUGAUCUGUUAGAGCAAUCGAAGCAGUGAACUUAAGCCCCAGUAAACGGCGGCCGUAACUAUAACGGUCCUAAGGUAGCGAGAUUCCUUGUCGGGUAAGUUCCGACCCGCACGAAAGGCGUCACGUUUUGGGCACUGUCGCUACAAUCGACACGGCGUAAUUGUCAUUCCGGUGAAUAUGCUGGCUACCUGCGACACGACGGCAUGCAGCCAGUGAACAUUCAUUCGCAUUGACCUAGGAUCUU
rnacentral:rRNA from 1 species